rnacentral:rRNA from 1 species
AGUGAACGCUGGCGGUAGGCCUAACACAUGCAAGUCGAACGGCAGCACAGUAAUAGCUUGCUCUUACGGGUGGCGAGUGGCGGACGGGUGAGGAAUACAUCGGAAUCUACUUUUUCGUGGGGUAUAACGUAGGGAAACUUACGCUAAUACCGCAUACGACCUACGGGUGAAAGCAGUGGAUCUUCGUACCUUGCUCGAUUGAAUGAGCCGAUGUCGGAUUAGCUAGUUGGCGGGGUAAAGGCCCACCAAGGCGCCGAUCCGUAGCUGGUCUGAGAGGAUGAUCAGCCACACUGGAAAUGAGACAAGGUCCAGACUCCUAAGGGAGGCAGCAGUGGGGAAUAUUGGACAAUGGGCGCAAGCCUGAUCCAGCCAAACCGCGUGGGUGAAGAAGGCCUUCGGGUUGUAAAGCCAGUUUGUUGGGAAAGAAAAGCAGCAGGUUAAUACCCAGCUGUUCUGAAGGUAACCAAAGAAUAAGCACCGGCUAACUUCGUG